GUAAUACUGGGCUAAAAUCAACGUGUCAGGAAGGCUGUGUUCCUUCUUGAGGCUCCAGGAGAAGUCGUUUCUUUGCCCUUUCUGGGUUCUAGAGACUGCCACAUUCGGGUUCUAGGAAGUAGGACAUGGACAUCGUUGGGGGACCAUUAAUUUGCCUACCACCAGUAGCUCUUAACAACAAGAGUGUGAAGCAGAUUUGAAUCUAAACCCUGGCCUGGAGCCACACCCAACUGAGAUCAGCAGAGUGGCCCUACUUGAUCCAUAGACACACCGAUGGAAUCUCACUCUGUCACCCAGGCUGGAGUGCAGUGGCACUAUCUUGGCUCACUGCAGCUUCCGCUUCCCGGGUUCAAGCAAUUCUCCUGCCUCAACCUCCCAAGUAGCUGGGGUUACAGAUGAGCUACUUAACAGCCACAGCCCUCCGACUUUGGAAUAGCCCUGCCUGCCAUCAUCAUCUGUCCUGAGAGGAAGGCUUGCCUUUGAAAUUCCUUUAUUGUAGCAGACAUUUGCUGCUAGGUCUCUUUUGUUAGUGCACAUGCCUGCUCUUCAGCCUGCCUGUGUUCCUGCACCCAUAUUUCUGUGUGUCUGCCCCUCUCCCCACCUUGCCUAGCCUUCUAUUCUAGUGUUUGCACUUUUCCAGGAUCCUGGAAUUUGUUCUGUUGCUUUAACUUGCUUUCCUGUGGCUGAGCUCCACUGGCUCCUGACUGCCUGCUUGGUUUGUCUGCCAGCUUGCCUUACCCUUGGGCUUCAAUCUUCACAAUCCUCAUAAUCUUGCUCUGAGCAUAGGGUACCAUGCAGCCCAAUUCUACGUGGUUCAUCUGCUCCUGACUUAACUGAAUCUACCUCUUACUUGAGCCCCUUAUAUUAAAGAGGGUCGAUGGCUUUUAUAAUGAAAGUGACUGCAAUACAAAUACAUUUUAAUGGUGUCACAACCUUUAAACAUUAGCAGUCCAGGUUGUUCAAGGACCACCUUAAGUUCUGAACUUAGUGUGUAGAAAAGUUUCCACAAGUAAAAAAUAUUUUCAUGCUUCUGAAUAUUUUAUGGGUUUUGUCCUACAUAGGAAUACUUGCUAUCUUUAUUGAAAGGGGUAUGUGGAAUCAAAUAUCUGAAUAAAUUAUGUCAUAUAUAUACAGCAGCCUUUUUCAA
rnacentral:lncRNA from 10 species